AACAUCGCGGCAUAUAUUCGAAGUGUAGAGAUAGUU
rnacentral:guide_RNA from 1 species